rnacentral:lncRNA from 1 species
GUUUUCUUUCCAGCCAUCCUAAAAAAAAUGGACGCCCUGUGCUUGUUCUUCAGUCCAGUGGCUAUUUAUUGAAAACAGAAGUAUUGACAUAAGCAGGUUUUGCUGGAAUUAACAAAAUGAACAGGAAGACGUAAAGAACGAAAGACUUUACAUGAAGCCAAGUGACCAUCCGUGUAGGUGUCCGAAGUCCCAAGCUUCUGAGUGCCCUAGGAAUAAGGAUCCAACACUGAAAGUAAAACUGAAGAUUAAGCACAGGUCUUAG